AACGCAAAACCACAGCCAUUCACAACGUUAAUGCAUUCCCUUGAGGUUGAACCCAUUAUGGCGUUCUUGACCCAUGACCAUCGGAAUAUAGUUGUGUUUUUUUCACUGGAUGGACUGGAGAAAAAUUUGGUUGAUCUUGGGUGCAGCACUCCAUCUGUUGAAUAAUUUAUUUGUUUCUAAGGGAUUACCUUCGUGUGCCCGUAUGGGGAGUGGUGCAAUGAUCAGCUGGACAUAU
rnacentral:snoRNA from 14 species